AAGCAGAAGAAGAAGCAAAGCAGCAAAAAAAAAAUGAAAUAAAAAGAUCAAAAUGUAGACUUCUUCAUAUGACUUCCUGUUGCAAUCAUUGUUGUUGUUAUU
rnacentral:ribozyme from 1 species